UCCGGUUGAUCCUGCCGGAGGCCACUGCUAUUGGGGUCCGGCUAAGCCAUGCGAGUGGUGGGCGCGGUCGCGAGAUCGUGGCCCCGCACACGGCUCAGUAACACGUCGUCAACCCACCCUCGAGUCUGGGACAACCUCGGGAAACUGAGGAUAAUCCCUGAUAGGCGAGAGAUGCUGGAAUGCUUUCUCGCUUAAAGCUCCGGCGCUCGAGGACGGGACGGCGGCCUAUCAGGUAGUUGGUGGGGUAACGGCCCACCAAGCCUACGACGGGUACGGGCGAUGGGAGUCGGAGCCCGGAGAUGGGGACUGAGACAAGGCCCCAGGCCCUACGGGGCGCAGCAGGCGCGAAAACUCCGCAAUGCGCGAAAGCGUGACGGGGGGACCCCAAGUGCCGCUGAUCUUAGAUCGGCGGCUUUUCGGGAGUGUAAGAAGCUCCCGGAAUAAGGGCUGGGUAAGUCUGGUGCCAGCCGCCGCGGUAACACCAGCAGCCCAAGUGGUGGUCGCGUUUAUUGGGCCUAAAGCGCUCGUAGCCGGGCCAGUAAGUCCCUUGUGAAAUCGGACGGCUUAACCGUUCGGCUUGCAAGGGAUACUAUUGGCCUUGGGGCCGGGAGAGGUUGGAGGUACUCCGGGGGUAGCGGUGAAAUGCUGUAAUCCUCGGGGGACCACCAGUGGCGAAGGCGUCCAACUAGAACGGACCCGACGGUGAGGGGCGAAAGCUGGGGGAGCGAACGGGAUUAGAUACCCCGGUAGUCCCAGCUGUAAAGCAUGCGGGCCGGGUGUCAGGCGCCCUUCGAGGGCGCCUAGUGCCGUAGGGAAGCCGUUAAGCCCGCCGCCUGGGAAGUACGGUCGCAAGGCUGAAACUUAAAGAAAUUGGCGGGGGAGUACCACAAGGGGUGGAGCCUGCGGUUUAAUUGGAUUCAACGCCGGACAACUCACCGGGGGCGACAGUUGGUUGAAGGCCAGGUUGACGACCUUGCCGGACUAGCUGAGAGGAGGUGCAUGGCC
rnacentral:rRNA from 1 species